UUAUGUUUUAUCGAAACGUUUGCAUAUUGGUAGUUUAAAAAAUCGAUAGUUGAUAAUCGCCCCAUCACCGGAAAAAUUUACAACUGCGAAUUUGGUACUUGUUUUGGUUUUGUUUCCUUCCUAGCGCAUCUAAACAUUUUAUUAAAAAACUGCUGCGGAUACAAGUGAUAAAUGAUUUGCUGAAUUACAUAGAAACACGGGUUGUAUGAAGUUACGGCUUUGUUUAUGGACCUGCAAUGUGCAACGGGCUUCUUCGUUGCGUUCUAGAAAAUUUUUAUUAUGUACUUAUAAUACACCGCAUCACAGUAUUACCCAGUGUGUAAAUCAUCUGGAAUUGAGAAAUCGUCAGUUGCAAAAUGCUAUAAAGCAAAAGGAACAACAAACA